CAGUCGCCACGGGAAUACGGAGGGUGCAAGCGUUAAUCGGAAUUACUGGGCGUAAAGCGCACGCAGGCGGUCUGACAAGUCAGAUGUGAAAUCCCCGGGCUUAACCUGGGAACUGCAUUUGAAACUGUCAGGCUGGAGUCUUGUAGAGGGGGGUAGAAUUCCAGGUGUAGCGGUGAAAUGCGUAGAGAUCUGGAGGAAUACCGGUGGCGAAGGCGGCCCCCUGGACAAAGACUGACGCUCAGGUGCGAAAGCGUGGGGAGCAAACAGGAUUAGAUACCCCGGUAGUCCCUGUCUCUUAUAC
rnacentral:rRNA from 1 species